rnacentral:rRNA from 1 species
UCGGAUUGUAGUCUGCAACUCGACUACAUGAAGCCGGAAUCGCUAGUAAUCGCGGAUCAGAAUGCCGCGGUGAAUACGUUCCCGGGUCUUGUACACACCGCCCGUCACACCAUGGGAGCCGGAAAUGCCCGAAGUCGGUGACCCAACCAAUAAGGAGGGAGCUGCCGAAGGCAGGUCUGGUGACUGGGGUGAAGUCGUAACAAGGUACC